UCGAGGAUCUUCGGCAAUGGGGGCAACCCUGACCGAGCGACGCCGCGUGGGCGAUGAAGGCCUUCGGGUUGUAAAGCCCUGUCGAGGGGGAGAAAGCCGAAAGGUUGAUCUAUCCCUGGAGGAAGCACGGGCUAAGUUCGUGCCAGCAGCCGCGGUAAGACGAACCGUGCGAACGUUGUUCGGAAUCACUGGGCUUAAAGGGCGCGUAGGCGGGCUGCCAAGUCUGGGGUGAAAUCCUCCGGCUCAACCGGAGAACGGCCUCGGAUACUGGCGGUCUCGAGGGAGGUAGGGGCGUGCGGAACUAAGGGUGGAGCGGUGAAAUGCGUUGAUAUCCUUAGGAACUCCGGUGGCGAAGGCGGCACGCUGGACCUCUUCUGACGCUGAGGCGCGAAAGCCAGGGGAGCAAACGGGAUUAGAUACCCCCGUAGUCC
rnacentral:rRNA from 1 species